CCUACGGGAGGCAGCAGUGAGGAAUAUUGGUCAAUGGGAGAGAUCCUGAACCAGCCAAGCCGCGUGAGGGAAGACGGCCCUAUGGGUUGUAAACCUCUUUUGUCGGGGAACAAAACCCGGGACGUGUCCCGGACUGCGUGUAUCCGAAGAAAAAGCAUCGGCUAACUCCGUGCCAGCAGCCGCGGUAAUACGGAGGAUGCGAGCGUUAUCCGGAUUUAUGGGGUUUAAAGGGGGCGUAGGGGGUCGGUAAAGUCAGCGGUAAAAUUGCGGGGCUCAACCGCGACGGGCCGUUGAAACUGGCAGGCUUGAGUGCGGAAGAAGUAGGCGGAAUGCGGGGUGUAGCGGUGAAAUGCAGAGAUAUCGCGCAGAACUCCGAUUGCGAAGGCAGCGCACGGGGGCCAGAUUGACGCUGAGGCACGAAAGCGUGGGGAUCGAACAGGAUUAGAUACCCCGGUAGUC
rnacentral:rRNA from 1 species